GCUUGCAUUUGCUCAGGAUAAAGUUCCAGGCUUGCCCCCACCACACCCAGCCUUGUGGGCAUUCAUUCUCUCUCUCUGGUUACUUCUGUCCUGGCUUUAGUCCUUGCUCCUCUGCUAUAACUCCUUAAAGGCAGGGCCAAUUUCACUGGCACUUUCAUCUGACGUGUGUGCGUGGGUCCUGCAGGUACGUGACAGGGCACAUCUGGGCCUGUCCUCCAAGUGAAGGAGAUGAUUACAUCUUCCAUUGCCACCCACCUGAUCAAAAAAUACCCAAGCCAAAACGACUGCAGGAGUGGUACAAAAAGAUGCUGGACAAGGCGUUUGCAGAGCGGAUCAUUCAUGACUACAAGGAUAUUUUCAAACAAGCAACUGAAGACAGGCUCACCAGUGCCAAGGAACUGCCCUAUUUUGAAGGUGAUUUCUGGCCCAAUGUGUUAGAAGAGAGCAUUAAGGAACUAGAACAAGAAGAAGAGGAGAGGAAAAAGGAAGAGAGCACUGCAGCCAGUGAAACUACUGAGGGCAGUCAGGGCGACAGCAAGAAUGCCAAG
rnacentral:sRNA from 1 species